rnacentral:rRNA from 1 species
GUGGGGAAUCUUGCGCAAUGGGCGAAAGCCUGACGCAGCCAUGCCGCGUGAAUGAUGAAGGUCUUAGGAUUGUAAAAUUCUUUCACCGGGGACGAUAAUGACGGUACCCGGAGAAGAAGCUCCGGCUAACUUCGUGCCAGCAGCCGCGGUAAUACGAAGGGGGCUAGCGUUGCUCGGAAUUACUGGGCGUAAAGGGCGCGUAGGCGGACAGCUUAGUCAGAGGUGAAAGCCCAGGGCUCAACCUUGGAAUUGCCUUUGAUACUGGCUGUCUUGAGUUUGGGAGAGGUGAGUGGAACUCCGAGUGUAGAGGUGAAAUUCGUAGAUAUUAGCAAGAACACCAGUGGCGAAGGCGGCUCACUGGCCCGGUACUGACGCUGAGGUGCGAAAGCGUGGGGAGCAAACAGGAUUAGAAACCCUUGUAGUCC